AUUGAACGCUGGCGGCAUGCUUUACACAUGCAAGUCGAACGGCAGCACGAAAGAGCUUGCUCUUUUGGUGGCGAGUGGCGAACGGGUGAGUAAGAUAUUGGAACGUACCGAGUAAUGGGGGAUAACUAUCCGAAAGGAUAGCUAAUACCGCAUACGCUUUGAGAAGGAAAGUGGGGGAUCUUCGGACCUCACGUUAUUCGAGCGGCCAAUAACUGAUUAGCUAGUUGGAGGGGUAAAGGCCCACCAAGGCGACGAUCAGUAGCGGGUCUGAGAGGAUGAUCCGCCACACUGGGACUGAGACACGGCCCAGACUCCUACGGGAGGCAGCAGUGGGGAAUUUUGGACAAUGGGCGCAAGCCUGAUCCAGCCAUGCCGCGUGUCUGAAGAAGGCCUUCGGGUUGUAAAGGACUUUUGUUAGGGAAGAAAAGGAGUAUGUUAAUACCAUACUCUGCUG
rnacentral:rRNA from 1 species